CGAGUAUCCGACCGUCCGUGAUGUAGGACUAGCUUAUAUUGUUUUAUUUUGAAAGGGCCAAAAGAGAAAUUAGCAUGAUUUUCACUUUAACCCUCUUCCUGAUGAACGAUAGAGGCAGAGCAUAUGGUCGACUCCCACUGCGGCGCUCCGCCGCCGCUUCGCCUCGCGCCGCCGUCUCGGUCGAAUCCGCGGCCCUCGGCCCCACUGAGCUGCCGCAUCUGGGCGUUGUUGGGUGCCUCGCGCCGCCGCAUCUAGGCGUUGUUGGGUGCCUCGCGCCGCCGCAUCUAGGCGUUGUUGGGUGCCUCGCGCCGCCACCUCCGAUGCUGGAAGUCGCAUCUUCCUGAACGACCGGUGCCGACCCUAAAUCGCUGCGCCGUCGCCCCGUUCUGCCCUGGACUCUAUCAAGAAAGAGGAGAAGAUGGCGAUUGUUGCAGGUGCGGAACAGAUGAUGCACGCUGCUCAAGAAUGUGUGAAGAGGAAGAAGGAUGCUGCAGCGGUGGCCACUUUGUCGUCUGGAUUGCUGAUGAUCACCGAGGGAUGAGGAGAAGCCCCGGUGGUGGCUGUUGGCUGGGAGUUUUCAUUUUCGUGUUCUGCUGUAAUAUAUACUUGUGGUGAGGAUAGUGAGCGUAGAAUAAUCAUGUUUUUGCCCCGUAGGGGUACUUGAGAGCGAGUACUCACAGCGGCUUUCCUGGUUGCGUCCUCCCAAUUUGAGCUAACUUUCUCCUUGGAUAGUCGGCGAAAGCAGAGAAUAAUACAAGAAAAUGAUAUAGAAAAUGGUUUUGCUGUUGUCCUAUAUGUACCGAGACCUGAAGUUUGGUUACAGUUUCUUUUUCCUGCAUGUACCGAGACCUGAUGUUUGGUUUCGCUGUCCUAUAUGCAUUGAGACACAAGUUUGGUUACAGGUUC